GUCAAUUAUCGUCAGGAGUUUUCCACCAUAAAAAUUAGAAGUAGAACUGCCCCACGAUUGGUGCUGAGCAUUAAAAUCGCCCAUUACGAGAAAAGGUUUAGGUAAAAUUGAAAAUAAUUGUUCUAGUUGUGAAUAUAUUUGGCAUGUAGGAUCAGGAAUAUAUAAAGUAACAAAACAGAUACCAUUUAUAAUUAUAGCAGCUGCAUUAAUGCCGCUAUAUACAGGAAGCGAAAAAGAAGAAAAAAGAAGGGAGUUUUUGACCAAUAUGGCAACACCGCCAUAUCCGUCAGCUCUAUCAUCACGGAGACUUGUAAAGCCUGAAAUCCUAAAAGGAUAUCCUGGCUUUAACCAAGUCUCUUGUAGAGCUAUUAUAAAAGGAUUAUAUUUAUUAAUCAAAUAAAAUAAGUCUGAUUUCUUAUUUGUUAUGCUACGACAGUUCCACUGAAUUAUUUGGACUUUGUAAUCCAUUGUGAGAAGUUAAUAAUUGAGAAAAUACAUUGUACAUGGCAUCGUUGGACGGUGGUAAAGUUGAAAGAAGAUUGAAAAUGAGAUUUAUUGGAAGGAGAUGAUGAUGUUAAUACAUCUGAAUAUAGUUUAGAAGUUGGAGGAUGAAAUUUUGAUGCUUCAGCAUAAGAAACACAACUAUGGGCCAUU